GUGUUUUUCGUUCAAGACUACGGCUUUUUAAAACGAUAUUGUUGGGUCAAUUCAGGUUUUAUUUUAAUUAAUUUGAUAUCAAUAGAAGAAAAAAUGUUACAUCUUUAUUUGUUUAUUUGUUUAUAAUUUUGUUGUGAGGCGUUAAUUCUUUCUGGUGAUAUCAUAAACACGAAAUGCCUUCUCCUACGCGUCUAAAACCAAAAAAAAAAAACAAAAAAAAAACCAGUGUUUUUAAGUCAGACUGCACACAGAACAACGUACAGAAUGCUGUGAUUUCUAGUUGGAGUUAUUUAGAUAAUUUCUAUGAGGUUUAAGACAGCACAGGCGUGCUUGUUGGAUUCAUUAUAGACCGCAGAAAGUAGUUUCUCUUUCGUGUGUCCUUUCUUGGAGUAAGGGAGAUAACUUGCGUAACUAACGACGAACGUUUUUAAUCCCGUAUUCCGCUAGAGGCGUGCAAUUACGUACACUUCGCCUUAAAGGAUAGUAAUGUUUAUCGGAUGAAAUCGGGGGGAUUUAAAUAUUUAUUUACAUUUACAGAUCAAUAUUGCUGGAAGAAUAUAGUAGUAAGGUAACUACGGGUGGAAUAUUUGUCUUGAUUUCGAAAUGAUAAGACCUAACAAAAAAACAUCAGAAAACAACAGAAAAGAUCUUUCUUUUUAUUUGUUUCAUAUUAUAAGUUUUUGAUUCCAGAAG
rnacentral:lncRNA from 1 species